rnacentral:rRNA from 1 species
ACGGGAGGCAGCAGUGGGGGAUAUUGCACAAUGGAGGAAACUCUGAUGCAGCAACGCCGCGUGAGUGAAGAAGUAUUUCGGUAUGUAAAGCUCUAUCAGCAGGGAAGAAAAUGACGGUACCUGACUAAGAAGCUCCGGCUAAAUACGUGCCAGCAGCCGCGGUAAUACGUAUGGAGCAAGCGUUAUCCGGAUUUACUGGGUGUAAAGGGAGCGUAGACGGCAAAGCAAGUCUGAAGUGAAAUCUAUGGGCUCAACCCAUAAACUGCUUUGGAAACUGUUUAGCUAGAGUGCAGGAGAGGUAAGUGGAAUUCCUAGUGUAGCGGUGAAAUGCGUAGAUAUUAGGAGGAACACCAGUGGCGAAGGCGGCUUACUGGACUGUAACUGACGUUGAGGCUCGAAAGCGUGGGGGGCAAACAGGAUUAGAUACCCUGGUA